AACGUAACGUUCGAACACUUUUCGAAUAUUUGCAGCAGCGAGCGGCCCGUGGUUGGAGAUAGCACCUUUACCGCUCUGGAUUUACUUUCUUCCUUUUUUUAUUGUCUCAUCCCUUUCCCGUAUCUUGGUCGUCACUGCGCGCAUACACACGUAAACAGCGACGCCGCGUGCCGUCCUUGGCGCCGAGCGUAUACUCAUAAAGAGGGACAUUAAGCGUCCGCGCCGAGACGCGCUGGCGAGCCAUCAUUGUCUCUCCAUUUAGGGCCCAUCGCCUGGCGGAGGCGGCUGUUGGCAGACGUCGACCGGGACGGCGCGCACGAUGCGGGAGGCACCAGUGCGCGCGGAUCGCAACGCAGGGCAUCUCGCGAAGACGCCGCCACCAACUCGACGAGGGCUCACGGAGGGCACACCACGCCGGCGCCGCCAAUCCAUGUGUUCUGCAUGUCCCGCGAGCCCACGGCACCCCGGAGACCACGCACGGGAUCGACCGAGAUACUGGCCGGACUAUAGGACCUUCCACAUUACUCCCGUUACACCAGCAACAAAUCCCUGAAAAGAGACGUGAGAAGUUGAAGCCAUGACCUCGAGCCACUGCGAGCAUGCUGACACCCACCGACGAAAAGUACAGAAAUUAUACU
rnacentral:lncRNA from 1 species